AUUGAACGCUGGCGGCAUGCCUUACACAUGCAAGUCGAACGGUAACAGGUCUUCGGAUGCUGACGAGUGGCGAACGGGCGAGUAAUACAUCGGAACGUGCCCGAUCGUGGGGGAUAACGAGGCGAAAGCUUUGCUAAUACCGCAUACGAUCUACGGAUGAAAGCGGGGGAUCUUCGGACCUCGCGCGGACGGAGCGGCCGAUGGCAGAUUAGGUAGUUGGUGGGAUAAAAGCUUACCAAGCCGACGAUCUGUAGCUGGUCUGAGAGGAUGAUCAGCCACACUGGGACUGAGACACGGCCCAGACUCCUACGGGAGGCAGCAGUGGGGAAUUUUGGACAAUGGGCGAAAGCCUGAUCCAGCCAUGCCGCGUGCAGGAUGAAGGCCUUCGGGUUGUAAACUGCUUUUGUACGGAACGAAAAGCCUCUUUCUAAUAAAGAGGGGUCAUGACGGUACCGUAAGAAUAAGCACCGGCUAACUACGUGCCAGCCGCCGCCGUAA
rnacentral:rRNA from 1 species